UACGUAGGGUGCAAGCGUUAAUCGGAAUUACUGGGCGUAAAGCGUGCGCAGGCGGCUUUGCAAGACAGAUGUGAAAUCCCCGGGCUUAACCUGGGAACUGCAUUUGUGACUGCAUGGCUGGAGUGCGGCAGAGAGGGAUGGAAUUCCGCGUGUAGCAGUGAAAUGCGUAGAUAUGCGGAGGAACACCGAUGGCGAAGGCAAUCCCCUGGGCCUGCACUGACGCUCAUGCACGAAAGCGUGGGGAGCAAACAGG
rnacentral:rRNA from 1 species